rnacentral:snoRNA from 1 species
CUACAAUGAUGUCAGAAUUUUUCAUCAACAGCAGUUGAGGGUUGAUACUUGGGUCUGAGUGA